rnacentral:rRNA from 1 species
AUUGAACGCUGGCGGCAGGCUUAACACAUGCAAGUCGAGCGGUAGCACAGGGGAGCUUGCUCCCUGGGUGGCGAGCGGCGGACGGGUGAGUAAUGUCUGGGAAACUGCCUGAUGGAGGGGGAUAACUACUGGAAACGGUAGCUAAUACCGCAUAACGUCGCAAGACCAAAGAGGGGGACCUUCGGGCCUCUUGCCAUCAGAUGUGCCCAGAUGGGAUUAGCUAGUAGGUGGGGUAAUGGCUCACCUAGGCGACGAUCCCUAGCUGGUCUGAGAGGAUGACCAGCCACACUGGAACUGAGACACGGUCCAGACUCCUACGGGAGGCAGCAGUGGGGAAUAUUGCACAAUGGGCGCAAGCCUGAUGCAGCCAUGCCGCGUGUGUGAAGAAGGCCUUCGGGUUGUAAAGCACUUUCAGCGAGGAGGAAGGUGGUGAGCUUAAUACGUUCAUCAAUUGACGUUACUCGCAGAAGAAGCACCGGCUAACUCCGUG